GUAAAUUGUGCAGAGCAAGUGUGUGGUGACCGUUUUUUCCCCCUCGGAUUUUAAUCUACUGGAUAUGCCCAUAGAGUUUGCAGGAAUAACGGCUGGUUCUGGAAGCUGUUGGAGAUGUGAGAUAAAGAAAGCAUCCUUACAGAGUGCUGCAACCAAAAGCCAGAGAGUGUCUUGCCUUUCACAAUGCCAAAUCAAAAAGGUGAAUGCAUAGCCCACUCAGAGAAAUAAAGCUUAUGAAGACAGUCUUCGCUACAGGAGCCUGCUCAUCAUCCAAUAUCGUCCUCUUGGCUGUGCACCUUUUGAUGUAACACUGAAAUGAGAAUCAACCAACCUAAAUAUCUGUAACAAUAUCUGGGAAGAUGUAUAAUUCAGAAUUGCAUGAAGACAACAAAAGAUUAGUUGACACUUAGGACUGGCAAUUUUGUGUGUGCUCCUGUAACCCCAGCCACAUGUAACUCCAUGCCUGGAGAGUGUUCUGGAAUCUGGGCAUAUCUUCUCUACAGUAUUCGACUUGUCUCUUGAAUGCCAUACAUGGCAAUUUUGUAUGCUGAAUUGUGUCCCCUCUCUCCAAAUUCAUAAGUUGACGUCGGAACCCUCAUUACUUCAGAAUAUAACUGCAUUUUGGAGAUAAGGUUUAUAAAGAGGUAAUUAAGUUAAAAUGAGGUCCUAACCCAAUCUGACUAGCAUCCUUCAGAGAAGAGGAAGAAAUGCCAGGGCUGUGAGUGCACAAAGGGUCAACUAUGUGAAGAGGCAUCAAGAGGGCAGCCAUCUGCAAAGUCAGAGAGAUAAACCUUAGGAGAAACCAACUUGCCAGUGCCUUGAUUUUGGACUCGCUUCUUCAGAAAUGUGAGAAAAUAAAUUUUGUUGAUUAAGCCACCUAGUCUGUAGUACUUUGUUAUGGCAACCGUAGCAAACUAUUCCAACAGCAAAGAACGUUAGUCCUGGGUAUUUCAAGUGCACCAAAUGGCUAACUCUGCAAUCAAGAUAAAGCGUCACAAGGAGUCUGGAGUUCUCACCUCCCUCAUCCAAAAACCCUCAACCUUGGUUCCCAGUCACCCUCCACCAACACCCUCCUUCUUAUUUUGUUUGGCUUUGCCUCAUGUCUUGUCAGUCAUCCUCUAUACCAUGGAUUUUGGUAAUGAUAGGGGCCCAGUAGCUUUAGAUUCUGAGCAUUGAAAAGAAAUAUGUUCUACAUGGGCUGGUCUUCAGGCACACUGUCUAAAGGGUAAUCAAACAUUUCCCAUGAAAUGUAACCACCCUCUUGCCAUCAGAUCUUGUAUGUAUUGUUGUACAGAAUAUGUUUUAUCAGUUCUUCAAUGUGAUUUGCCAUAAAACAACCCCUUCUUUUUAUUUGAACUUUGAUAUACAACAUACUCCAAGAGGAGGUUAAGUUUCUUGAACUGGUUGUGAGGAGGGUUAGGAAAUUUAUCCUACCAUACUCACAGUACUAUAGAGGCAAAUGUGGCAUAAAAUUAUAUCCUUGCAACUGCUUCUACCAGGUUUAUGAAAUUACUCUACAGUUUCCAGUUUCUUCUUACUAAGGUGCUAGUGAUAACCAGUAAUGAAGGUAAGCCUCUGCUUAGUCCUGCCUAAAUUCUUUCUCAUCUGAUUUCUGUUUUCCUAUGUUGUUCUUUUCCCUUUGAGGAAUGAAAAUUUCUGUGCCUGGAUUCUUACUUCUUAAUCUCUGUUUAUACAGUUCUCCAAAAUGUAUGCAAUAACAUUUAGCAAUAAAUGUCUAUAAGCUCUUUUCAUCUUGCAAAAACUUGACUGCCUACAAAUUUAUCACCCUGGAAAUGACAUCUGCCUGUUCUAUCAAGUUGGAAAUGCUGUUCACCAACCUAAGCACUUGUGCCUUUUUCUCCAACCUGCUGGGAAGUUGGAGGAGCAUGGAUCUCUUGUGGGAAGAGCCAUUCCCAAAUGGUGCCUGAGCUAAAAGCAGAUCUCAUGGUGGCAGGGGUGAUAUCUAAAAUAUUUAAUAACUAGUAAGGUACAAGCACAAAAACCAAUCAAAACUGAUACAUAUUAUGUGGGAAUAUGAAGCAUUUUCAAAUUAAUCAUGAGAUAGAUUUAAAGAAAUAUUAAAAUUUACCAAAUAACUUACUGUGAGUCCCUGGCUUUGUUACAGCUAUAUCAUCAUGGUACUUAUUAGCCACUGGAGAGGCCAGAAUUAUAUCAGAGAUACAACCAGCCUGCCACUCAUUGGCCUUUACCCUCUGUGAUGUUCCUGACACUGCCAGCAAAACCUCUCUAUCACAGACUUACAGCUUCCUCCAGCUGCAAGAAACCCUGGUCUUGUUCUUAUCUACUAAGCAAAUGAAUAUUAUAAUCGACAAAUAAAUGAGCUUGAUUGGGUCCUCAUCCACUUAUUCACUCAUGUCACAAAAAUUAAGUGAAUUACAAAUAUGGACCAAGCACUGAAUUCAUUUUUAAAAAUUUAAUGAAUAAAUAAAAUGAUAUGAGUAGAUGCAUAAAUGAACAAAUGACUAAAACUACGGUGAUUACUAAUUCUCUUUUGUAGAAUAAGCAUGGAUUAUUCUCCAAAUAGAGGCUCUUAACACAGAAGACAAGGUAGGGAGGAAACUUCUACCAGUUUUAAAGAGACCAAGAGGGCAGAGAAGGGACAUUUAGUUCUGAGAUAUCAAUGAUAGGACUGUGUUACAGAUUCAGAAGCUGUCAUUACUUGAGAGCAGAAGGAAGAAACAAAACAAAACGUUAUUAACAAUGAUGGCAACAUGUAAGUCUAGUUGGUUCUACCAUAAAUAUUUGUAUAGACUCUGCUAUUUUCAAACUAAUACUGAUUAAUUCUAUCAGUUUAGCUUACCUCAACCCUGAAGAGGUUUAUAUUGCAAUCAUUCCACUCUACCUAUUAAAAAUUGAUUAUUUUGCAACUUGUAUUAUUUCUUUUAAGUUGCAGAUUAUUUGCUUAUUUCAGUGAAUUUUGUUGUAUUUGGGCCUAUGCCUGGGGCCACAGCUCCUUAAACUAACACAAAAGAAAAGGUUGAGUCAUAAGCCCACCAAGAUCCAUUUCCUUAUUGUCAGGCCUCUGAGCCCAAGCUAAGCCAUCAUAUCCCCUGUGACUUGCAUGUAUACAUCCAGAUGGCCUGAAGUAACUGAAGAAUAACAAAAGAAGUGAUGUUUAAAUGGCCUGUUCCUGCCUUAACUAAUGACAUUCCACCACAAAAGAAGUGAAAAUGGCCGGUGCUUGCCCUUAAAUGAUGACAUUACCUUGUGAAAUUCCUUCUCCUGGCUCAUCCUGGCUCAAAAAGCUCCCCCACUGAGCACCUUGUGACCACACUCCUGCCCUCCAGAGAACAACCCCCCUUUGCCUGUAAUUUUCCUUUACCUACCGAAAUCUUACAAAAUGGCCCCACCCCUGUCUCCCUUCGCUGACUCUCUUUGCGGACUCAGCCAGCCUGCACCCAGGUGAAAUAAACAGCCUUGUUGCUCACACAAAGCCUGUUUAAUGGUCUCUUCACACUGGCGCGAGCGAAAUUUUGGUGCCAGGACUCGGAUCGGGGGCCUCCCUUGGGAGAUCAAUCCCCUGUCCUCCUGCUCUUUGUUUCGUGAGAAAGAUCCACAUACGACCUUGGGUCCUCAGACCGACCAGCCCAAGGAACAUCUCACCAAUUUUAAAUCUGGUAAGCGGCCUCUUUUUACUCUCUUCUCCAACCUCUCUCACUAUCCCUCAACCUCUUUCUCCUUUCAGUCUUGGUGCCACACUUCAAUCUCUCCCUUGUCUUAAUUUCAGUUCCUUUCAUUUUCUGGUAGAGACAAAAGAGACACGUUUUAUCUGUGGACCCAAAACUCCAGCCCUGGUCACAGACUUGGGAAGACAGUCUUCUCUUGGUGUUUAAUCACGCAGGGAUGGCUGCCUGAUUAUUCACCCACGUUUCAGAGUUGUCUGACCACACGGGGAUGCCUGCCUUGGUCCUUCACCCUUAGCAGCAAGUACCGCUUCUCUGGGGGGCAGGAACCCCCCAACCCCUUCUCUCCAUGUCUCUACCCCUUCUCUGCUUUUCUGGAGCGCAAGAAACCCCCGACCCCUUCUCUCCAUGUUGCUACCCCUUCUCCGCUUUUCUGGGGGGCAAGAACCCCCCACCCCUUCUCUCCAUGUCUCUACUCUCUCUUUUCUCUGGGCUUGCCUCCUUCACUAUGGGCAGCCUUCCAUCCUCCAUUCCUCCUUCUUCUCCCUUAGUCUGUGCUCUCAAGAACUUAAAACCUCUUCACCUCACACCUGACCUAAACCUAAACGCCUUAUUUGCUUCUACAAUGCCGCUUGACCCCAAUACAGACUCGACAGUGGUUCCAAAUAGCCAGAAAACAGCACUUUUGAUUUUUCCAUCUUACAAGAUCUAGAUAUUUCUUACCAUAAAAUAGGCAAAUGGUCUGAGGUGCCUAACGUCCAGGCAUUCUUUUACACAUUGUUCCCUCCCUAGUCUCUGUCCCCAGUGUGACUCGUCCCAAAUCCUCCUUCUUUCCCUCCCGCCUGUCCUCUCAGUCCCAACCCCAAGCAUCACUCUUUCUAAUCUUCCUUUUCUACAGACCCAUCUGACAUCCCCCCUCCUCCCCAGGCCGAGCCAAGUCCCAAUUCUUCCUCAGCCUCUGCUCCCCCUACCCUAUAAUCCUUUUAUCACCUCCCCUCCUCACACCCAGUCCAGCUUACAGUUUCGUUCCACGACUAGCCAUCCCCCACCUGCCCAGCAAUCUCCUCUUAAAAAGGUGGCUGGAACUAAAGGCAAAGUCAAGGUUAAUGCUCCUUUUUCUGUAUCUGACCCCUCCCAGAAUCAGUUAGUCUUUCAGCUCUUUUUUCAUCAAAUAUGAAAAACCCAGCCCAGUUCAUGACCCGUUUAGCAGUAACCCUGAGACACUUUACAGCCCUAGACCCUGAAAGGUCAAAAUACCAUCUUAUUCUCAAUAUACAUUUUAUUUUAUUACCCAAUCUGCUCCUGACAUUAAAUAAAGCUCCAAAAAUUAAAUUCCAGCCCUCAAACCCCACAACAGGACUUAAUUAAUCUCGCCUUCAAGGUGUACAAUAAUAGAAUAGAGGCGGCCAAGUAGCAACUUGUUUCUGAGUUGCAAUUCCUUGCCUCCACUGUGACAGAAACCCCAGCCACAUCUCCAGGACACAAGAACUUCCAAACGCCUAAAACGAAGUGGCCAGGCAUUCCUCCAGGCCCGCCUGCCCCAGAAGCUUGCUACAAGUGCCAGAAAUCUGGCCACCGGGCCAAAGAAUGCCCACAGCCCGGGAUUCCUCCUAAGCCACGUCCCAUCUGUGUGGGACCCCACUGGAAAUCGGACUGUCCAACUCACCUGGCAGCCACUCCCAGAGCCCCUGGAACUCUGGCCCAAGGCUCUCUGACUCCUUCCCAGAUCUUCUCAGCUUAGCAGCUGAAGACCGACGCUGCCUAAUCACCUCGGAACCUUCCCAGACCAUCACAGAUGCUUUAAGUAACGUUCACAGUGGAAGGUUAAGUCCGUCCCCUUCUUAAUCAAUACGGAGGCUACCCACUCCACAUUACCUUCUUUUCAAAGCCCUGUUUCCUUUGCCUCCAUAACUGCUGUGGGUAUUGACGGCCAGGCUUCUAAACCUCUUAAAACUCCCCAACUCUGGUGCCAACUUAGACAAUACUCUUUUAAGCACUCCUUUUAGUUAUCCCCACCUGCGCAGUUCCCUUAUUAGGCUGAGAUAUUUUAACUAAAUCAUCUGCUUCCCUGACUAUUCCUGGGCUACAGCCACAUCUCAUUGCCACCUUUUCCCCUAGUUCAAAGCCUCCUUCACAUCCUCCCCUUGUAUCUCCCCACCUUAAACCACAAGUAUAGGACGCCUCUACUCCCUCCUUGGCGACGGAUCAUCCACCCCUUACCAUCUCAUUAAAAUCUGAUCACCCUUACCCCACUCAAUGCCAAUAUCCCAUCUCGCAGCACGCUUUAAAAGGAUUAAAGCCUGUUAUCACUCGCCUGCUACAGCAUGGCCUUUUAAAGCCUAUAAACUCUCGUUACAAUUCCCCAUUUUACCUGUCCUAAAACCAGACAAGCCUUACAGGUUAGUUCAGGAUCUGCGCCUUAUCAACCAAAUUGUUUUGCCUUUCCACCCCAUGGUGCCAAACCCAUAUACUCUCCUAUCCUCAAUACCUCCCUCUACAACCCAUUAUCCUGUUCUGGAUCUCAAACAUGCUUUCUUUACUAUUCCUUUGCACCCUUCAUCCCAGCCUCUGUUCACUUUCACUUGGACUGACCCUGACACCCAUUAGGCUCAGCAAAUUACCUGGGCUGUACUGCCGCAAGGUUUCACAGACAGCUCCCAUUACUUCAGUCAAGCCCAAAUUUCUUCCUCAUCUGUUACCUAUCUCGGCAUAAUUCUCAUGAAAACACAUGUGCUCUCCCUGCCAGUCGUGUCUGACUGAUCUCUCAAACCCCAACACCUUCUACAAAACAACAACUCGUUUCCUUCCUAGACAUGGUUGGAUACUUUCGACUUUAGAUACCUGGUUUUGCCAUCCUAACAAAGUGCAAAAAGAAACCUAGCUGACCCCAUAGAUCCUAAAUCCUUUCCCCACUCCUCUUUCCAUUUCUUGAAGACAGCUUUAGAGACUGCCCCCUAGCUCUAGAGUCCCUAGCUCUCCCUGACUCAUCCCAGCCCUUUUCAUUACCCACAGCUGAAGUGCAGGGCUGUGCAGUAAGAAUUCUUACACAAGAACCGGGACCAUGCCCUGUAGCCUUUUUAUCCGAACAACUUGACCUUACUGUUUUCCCCAGCUCUCAAGUCUAUGUGCAGCGGCCGCUGCCACCCUAAUACUUUUAGAGGCCCUUAAAAUCACCAACUAUGCUCAACUCACUCUCUAAAGUUCUCAUAACUUCCAAAAUCUAUUUUCUUCCUCACACCUGACACAUAUACUUUCUGCUCCCCGGCUCUUUCAGCUGUACUCACUCUUUAUUGAGUCUCCCACAAUUACCAUUGUUCCUGGCCCGGACUUCAAUCCGGCCUCCCACAUUAUUCCUGAUACCACACCUGACCCCCAUGACUGUAUCUCUCUGAUCCACCUGACAUUCACCCCAUUUCCCCAAAUUUCCUUCUUUCCUGUUCCUCACCCUGAUCACACUUGGUUUAUUGAUGGCAGGUCCACCAGGCCUAAUUGCCACACACAAGCAAAGGCAGGCUAUGCUACAGCACAAGCCACUAGCCCCUCUUAGAACUUCUCAUUUCCUUUCCAUCAUAGAAAUCUACCCUCAAGGAAAUAACUUCUCAGUGUUCCAUCUGCUAUUCUACUACUCCUCAGGGAUUAUUCAGACCCACCCCCCCCCCGCCCACCACCUUCCCUACACAUCAAGCUCGGGGAUUUGCCCCCGCCCAGGACUACUAAAUUGGCUUUACUCAAAAUGCCCCGAGUCAGAAAACUAAAAUACCUCUUGGUCUGGGUAGACACUUUCACUGGAUAGGUAGAGGCCUUUCCCACAGAGUCUGAGAAAGCCACCACAGUCAUUUCUUCCCUUCUGUCAGACAUAAUUCCUCGGUUUGGCCUUCCCACCUCUAUAUAGUCCUAUAACAGACCGGCCUUUAUUAGUCAAAUCACCCAAGCAGUUUCCCAGGCUCUUAGUAUUCAGUGAAAGAAUGGUCUUUUAAAAACACAGCUCACCAAGCUCAGCCAUCAACUUAAAAAGGACUAGACAAUACUUUUACCACUUGCCCUUCUCAGAAUUCAGGUCUGUCCUCGAAAUGCUACAGGGUGCAGCCCAUUUGAACUCCUGUAUAGACGCUCCUUUUUAUAGGCCCCAGUCUCAUUUCAGACACCAGACCAACUUGGACUGCACGCCCCCCCUCCAAAAAAAAAAAAAACAAAAAAAUAAAAAAACCUGUCAUCCCUACUAUCUUCUAUCUAGUCAUACUCCUAUUCACCAUUCUCAACUACUCAUAAAUGCCCUGCUCUUGUUUACACUGCCGGUUUACACUAUUUCUCCAAGCCAUAACAGCUGAUAUCUCCUGGUGCUAUCCCCAAACUGCCACUCUUAACUCUCUCUUAAAGUAAAUAAAUAAUCUUUGCUGGCAGGGCUAUGCUGAACCUCCUUAGGCACUCUCUAAUUAGAUGUCCUAGCUCCUCCCAAUUCUUAGUCCUUUAAUACCUGCUUUUCUCCUUGUCUUAUUCCGUUCUUUUUUCAAUUCAUACAAAACCAUAUCCAGGCCAUCACCAAUAAUUCUAUACGACAAAUGUUUCUUCUAACAACCCCACAAUAUCACCCCUUGCCACAAAAUCUUCCUUCAGCUUAAUCUCUCCCACUCUAGGUUCCCAUGCCGCCCCUAAUCCCGCUCGAAGCAGCCCUGAGAAACAUUGCCCAUUAUCUCUCCAUACCACCCCCAAAAAUUUUCGCCGCCCCAAAACGUCAACACUAUUGUGUUUUAUUUUUCUUAUUACUAUAAGAAGACAGGAAUGUCAGGCCUCUGAGCCCAAGCUAAGCCAUCAUAUCCCUUGUGACCUGCACAUAAACAUCCAGAUGGCCUGAAGUAACGGAAGAAUAACAAAAGCGAUAUUUAAAUGGCCUGUUCCUGCCUUAACUAAUGACAUUCCACCACAAAAGAAGUGAAAAUGGCCGGUGCUUGCCUUAACUGAUGACAUUACCUUGUGAAAUUCCUUCUCCUGGCUCAUCCUGGCUCAAAAAGCUCCCCCACUGAGCACCUUGUGACCACCAUUCCUGCCUGCCAGAGAACAACCCCCCCCUUUGCCUGUAAUUUUCCUUUACCUACCCAAAUCUUAUAAAACGGCCCCACCCCUAUCUCCCUUCACUGACUCUCUUUUUGGACUCAGCCCGCCUGCACCCAGGUGAAAUAAACAGCCUUGUUGCUUACACAAAGCCUGUUUGGUGGUCUCUUCACACGGACGCGAGUGAAACUUAUUUGCAAAGCACGGGCUGAAUUAACGGGACUAUGUUGCCCACAAUUAGAGAAGCAAUUGUCUUGUUCAAUCAUUUUGGGGUUUCCUGUAGAACAUAAACUUCUUAAUGACAGAAAUUACGGGCAUAUUCACAUUUGCCUGACCUACAACAGAUGCCAAAUAAGUUUUCCAGAUAAAUGACUGAAGGGGUAAAUGUGCUCUGGACAGACCUCACCAAGACACUGGGUUUAGCUCUAGGGGGGCAACUAUCUGAAGAGGAAGAUAGGCAACCCACUAUGAAAGUAACAUGCAGGGAAGAAUCUGAAAAUUAUUUAUUUGAAACGAGGGGACUUAGGGUGUGCAGCCUAGUGAAGAAAUGUUUUAAAGUUUUGAGGGAAUGAUUGUUGUCUCCAAAUGUCUGAAGGAAGUACCUGUAGAAGGGCAUUAGUGAAAUAGUUUCCUCCCACUGACAGCAAAAUCCAUGAGAACAGGGAAUGUGUCGUGUCAUUUUAUCUUCAGCAUUUGUGGUACAGAUUAGGCACUCAGUCAGCAUUUAUUAAAUGAUGAAUAAACGAAUGAAUAAGGUACAAAAGUCAGAUUUGGGCUCAAGUACAGGCAGACCUUCAUAAAAGGAGAAUUGUUCAAAAAUGGAAUGCCCUUUCUGGGUGGCAAGUUUUACAAAAUGUAGUCCAUAAAAAUAAAAUGUGGAUAACCAUCAGCUGGGUUUAAUUCUAAGAUUUCCUGAUUUAUGCAUGGGACUUCCAAUGAGUUACUAAAUAUUUUCUGGGCCAAUGGGUUCUGAAAGUUAUACCCAAGUAUGAAUGUGAUUGAUAAUCACACAAACUGCUUCACCAGUGAGAUUAUCCAGUCAUCUAGAAAAUCAUAGUAUUAAUCCAGAGGCCUCCAGAAAAGAAGCAUAAAUAGAAAAAUUCAAUCCAUCAUUACUGCCCCAGUCUCAUUUCAAAAUGUUUUUCAAAAGAAAAACAUAGGAAUGAUAACAAGAUUUCAAAGUAGGUAUUCUAUUAAACUCUUUCAAUAAAGCACUUCAAACAAUGAAAAGUAUGUUUUAUGUGGAGAAUACAAUUGCUCAUGAAAAUAGACAAAUAAAAACAACAAAAAUCUAUCCUAUUACAGAUUUCUAUUGAAAAAUUGCUGCAAUAUGCAGACUGAUUGGGUCAUUUUAUCUAAUCCUAUACAAUAUACAAUUUUAGAUAAUCCUUUCACAGAUAUGUUUCGAUAGUCUAUAGUUUUAUUGGUUAGGAUGUUUUAGGGAGCUAUAUUGACCCUCCAUGGCCCAAGAAUUCAUGCCAAUUACUUUAUCUGAUUCCAGAAAAUACUCAUUUUGUAUAUUCCCAAUCAACAAAAUGUUUAUUUUGGUUUUUCUGAAAAUAAGAGCAAGUCAAAUCUUCAUAGUUAAUUAUAAUUGGACCUCUCUCAAGGUCUUUUCUUGUGUGAAGUACUCAGUGAUGGAAUUAUUUCUACUUGAGCACUGUUUAGUCAGGGUUGUAGUUUUUCUAAGAUUUUUUUAAACACUGGAAUGUUUUGGAAAUACAGUCUCCUUUAUUAAUGUAAGAGGCCUGCCCGUAAACUUGAGCUAAUUCUGUUGAGUCAGGGCUUACUGAUAGAUUCCUGAAUUUACCCAGAGCUUUAAAUGUUGUAUUCCAAGUGUCCUUUGCCCUCAAGGACUCAAGGAGUGCAUUAAUGUAGUUGUCACUGUAAUAUUUAAUAAGAAACCUUGCUUAGGAUUUUAGAAACUUUCCAUUUGAAGGUGUUUUUGCUCCUAAAUAAUACAGAAACUAUCAAUAUACAAAUAAGGCUGAGAAGGCAGGAAAGCUCGUUGAUUGUACUUACUCUGCAAUCCCAGGACACAGGAAAAUGGAACUUAAGAAGCAGGUAGUCCAGAAAGAAUAAAUCUUCAAGUCUGCUGUUUUUACUAUGUGCAAUAGUUGAAAUUAACUGUCAAAUCAGGUUUUAAUCUAGCUAAGUAGAUAUUUAAAAAAAAGCGAUUUGCAGUUAACACAAGCAUGUCUGUUAUUGUGCCACAAAACUACAAAGGAAGCAACAGGACUGAAUUGUAACGAUGACAACAGAUCUCACUACAUUUCAUGUUUAAUAUGUUUUGGAAAUCCUUUAAUACAGAGAGCAUUGAUUCAAGGCCUCUCUACAUGUAAAUUCAAUAACUGUUGACUAAUUAUAUUUUAUGCCAUGUGUAUAAAUAUUUGUCCAGCUCCUCCAUGUGAUUGAAAAUGGCCUUAAAAAUUAAAAGAUUUUCUGCAGUCAUGUCUUGUGCCAGCAUAGUGCUUUGCUAAGAAUAGAUACACAAUUAACAUUGUUUUCUCAGAAGUUGUCACUUCAUCUAUUGUUUUAAGAAUAAUAGGUCUAUCCCUCUGAUUUUUUCUUUUUUUUUUUUUUUGCCAAUGAGAAAAAAGAAGAGAAAGAGGAAAAAGAAUGAGAAAGAGAAAGGUAAGGGGAAAGAGGAAGAGAAGGAAAAUAAAAGCAGAGAAAGAAGAGCCUGCCAUUGACUGGAUUGCCGUAAUUAAAACAAUCAAUUCUCAUUUAAUUUAUUUGGAUCAUGCUUACACUUAUGGUACCUGGGUUGACACCAAUUAGUGCUCCAUAAAUGCUAAUUGAUGGGUUAGUUGAUAACUGCAAAAUCUGUAUCCACGUGAAGUCACUGUCAUGCUCUGGGGAAUCUGGAGGAGGAUUUCCAAAGACCCUUUGCAAAGAUGGAAAAGUUAAACAUUUAGCUUUCUCUCUUCCUCUCCCUCUUGCAAGUUAAAGCUAUCUCUAUGUUUUAAAUUUAUUGUGCAGAUAAACAAGCUUAAUACUAGUUUCCAUAAAUUAAAAGAAACACUUUGUCCUUCCCAUAAACUAGCUGUUAGGUUUAUGUAAAGUUACAAAUUGUUUUCACUGCUGUAUUUAUUUUUUGAUGGAAUGAAGUACAAUGUUUUGUAGUCAGAGAAACUGGUAAUUGAGUAAGGAACUUACAGAUACCCUUGCAAGAAUUAUCCACAUCAGAGUGGCGUGAGCUGCAUUAGGUCUGGUCCUCAGCCUGUUUGUCCUCAGUAUCUCUCCCUGUCAAUUUUGGCAUCUAGUACUUUCUUUAAGUCUUGCCCAUUCUGGGAACUUUCCACGAUUCCCUUCAUCUAUAAAAAUAUCUUAUGUCCCUUCCUUACCGUAGGUUUAAUAUGGUGAUUAUUUAAGCUGCGGCACAAAGAGCCUGAUAAUGACAGGGUGUUAUCUUUCCCGGUUGCCACUUUUACUUUUAACAGGGACUUCAGUGUUUUGUACUUAUGGUGGCCAAUUGUCUUGGUUUGCCUGAAACUUCCCUGGUUUUAGCACUGAAAAUCCCACGUCUCAGGAAAGCCCUCAGUCUUGGACAAACCAGGAAAGGCUGUUUACCAUAAGUGCACUCAAAGAAUUCUGUAAAAAAUGGCAAUUGAGAAAAACUUUUUAGCCUUCUCUCUCAAAUUGCAGUUCUCAGUUAGAGAUUUUCUUAGCCUGUUCUCUCAAAUCCCUGCUUAGGACAAUCUACCAGGUCUCCUCAGGAGUUCAGCACAUUCUGUCUUUUUUCUUACCCACCACACCCUUCAAGACAAAUUUCCCAGAUGCUUGGCUCAGUGUGCUCUCUGGGUGAUCCAAGCCUCCCCUUGUUUUUGUUUGUUCUAUAAGAGACAUUUGCUUCCCAGCCAUCCCAGUGUUCAUCAACAAGAACAACAACAACAACAGCAACAACAACAAAAUCAAAGGAGUGACAAUCUGUUCUUAGACUGUCUUCACAGUUCCCCACCAGAAAAAAGAGUAUUCCUUUUCUGCAGCACUUAAAUCCUAUACUGGCAGCAAUGAAAACCCAAGGGAAAUUAUCUACAAGUAUGAACAGACAGUCCUCAAUUUAUUUACGAGUUCGACCUACGAUUUUUUUGACUUCACAGUGGUGGGAAAGCAAUACUCAUUCAUUAGAAGCCAGACUUUGAGUAAGUACCCAUACAACCAUUCUGUUUUUCACUUUCGGUAUAGUAUUCAAUAAAUUAUCUGAGCUAUUCAACACUUUAUUAUAAAAUAGGCUUUGUGUUAGAUGAUUUUGCUCAACUGUAGGCUAAUAUAAGUGUUUUGAGCACUCUUAAGGUAGGCUAGGCUAAGCUACGAUGUUCUGUAGGUUAGGAGUAUUAAAUAAGCUUAUUUUUUAUUUAUUUGUUUUGUUUGUUAUUGUUUCUAGAGAUGAAGUCUUGUUAUGUUGCCCAGGCUGGGCUGGAACUUGUAUUACCUACACCAAUGUUGUUUACCAUUAGUUCCCAUAAGCAGAGUUUGACUCUUUAUCAUGCCUGAAUUAAAAGAACAAUGGCAGUUCCAGCUGCGUAGUUCUAUCAUCUUACUGUAUUUCAGAUCAAUCCGUGGCUUUGGAAUGUCCCUCAUUUCUCAGGCAUUGAGGAUUUUCUGGUGAUAGAGAAAUAAGGGGGCAGAAAUUUUAAAAGGCUCAUUGCAGGAUUGUUUAACAUGCAUUUGAACGAAGUAGUUGG
rnacentral:lncRNA from 1 species